GAUGAACGCUGGCGGCGUGCCUAGUACAUGCAAGUCGAGCGAACAGACGAGGAGCUUGCUCCUUUGACGUUAGCGGCGGACGGGUGAGUAACACGUGGGUAACCUACCUAUAAGACUGGGAUAACUUCGGGAAACCGGAGCUAAUACCGGAUAAUAUUUCGAACCGCAUGGUUCGAUAGUGAAAGAUGGCUUUGCUAUCACUUAUAGAUGGACCUGCGCCGUAUUAGCUAGUUGGUAAGGUAACGGCUUACCAAGGCAACGAUACGUAGCCGACCUGAGAGGGUGAUCGGCCACACUGGAACUGAGACACGGUCCAGACUCCUACGGGAGGCAGCAGUAGGGAAUCUUCCGCAAUGGGCGAAAGCCUGACGGAGCAACGCCGCGUGAGUGAUGAGGGUCUUCGGAUCGUAAAACUCUGUUAUUAGGGAAGAACAAACGUGUAAGUAACUGUGCACGUCUUGACGGUACCUAAUCAGAAAGCCACGGCUAACUACGUGCCAGCAGCCGCGGUAAUACGUAGGUGGCAAGCGUUAUCCGGAAUUAUUGGGCGUAAAGCGCGCGUAGGCGGUUUUUUAAGUCUGAUGUGAAAGCCCACGGCUCAACCGUGGAGGGUCAUUGGAAACUGGAAAACUUGAGUGCAGAAGAGGAAAGUGGAAUUCCAUGUGUAGCGGUGAAAUGCGCAGAGAUAUGGAGGAACACCAGUGGCGAAGGCGACUUUCUGGUCUGUAACUGACGCUGAUGUGCGAAAGCGUGGGGAUCAAACAGGAUUAGAUACCCUGGUAGUCCACGCCGUAAACGAUGAGUGCUAAGUGUUAGGGGGUUUCCGCCCCUUAGUGCUGCAGCUAACGCAUUAAGCACUCCGCCUGGGGAGUACGACCGCAAGGUUGAAACUCAAAGGGAUUGACGGGGACCCGCACAAGCGGUGGAGCAUGUGGUUUAAUUCGAAGCAACGCGAAGAACCUUACCAAAUCUUGACAUCCUUUGACCCUUCUAGAGAUAGAAGUUUCCCCUUCGGGGGGCAAAGUGACAGGUGGUGCAUGGUUGUCGUCAGCUCGUGUCGUGGGAUGUUGGGUUAAGUCCCGCAACGAGCGCAACCCUUAAGCUUAGUUGCCAUCAUUAAGUUGGGCACUCUAAGUUGACUGCCGGUGACAAACCGGAGGAAGGUGGGGAUGACGUCAAAUCAUCAUGCCCCUUAUGAUUUGGGCUACACACGUGCUACAAUGGACAAUACAAAGGGCAGCGAAACCGCGAGGUCAAGCAAAUCCCAUAAAGUUGUUCUCAGUUCGGAUUGUAGUCUGCAACUCGACUACAUGAAGCUGGAAUCGCUAGUAAUCGUAGAUCAGCAUGCUACGGUGAAUACGUUCCCGGGUCU
rnacentral:rRNA from 1 species